CACUAGGAGCCUCGGGUUCGCGCAGGCCCCGCGCAGGCCCCGCCCCUGCCCCGCUCCGUGCUGCCCUCUCCCCGCCUGGGUAGUCGUUGCUCCCAAGUACUCGCAGCUGGUGCUUCCGCCCAGACGCGGUUCUGCACGCCGAGGCGACCCCCGUUUUACCGGUCCGGCGCCAGGAUGGCCCCCAAACUUCGAGACUCUGUGGAGGAACUCCGCGCCGCCGGCAACCUGAGCUUCCGCAACGGCCAGUUCGCCGAGGCCGCCACACUCUACAGCCGCGCGCUACGGAUGCUGCAGGCGCAAGGUUCUUCAGACCCAGAAAAAGAAAGUGUUCUCUACUCCAACCGAGCAGCAUGCCACUUGAAGGACGGGAACUGCAUAGACUGCAUCAAGGACUGCACUUCAGCGCUGGCCUUGGUUCCCUUUGGCAUGAAGCCCCUGCUGCGGCGAGCGUCAGCCUACGAGGCUCUGGAGAAGUACACCCUGGCCUACAUGGACUACCUGACCGUGCUGCAGAUUGAUGACAGUGUGACGUCAGCCUUGGAAGGCAGCAGCAGAAUGACCAGAGCUCUUAUGGACUCCUUUGGGCCCGACUGGCGCCAGAAGCUGCCCUCUGUCCCCUUGGUGCCUGUUUCAGCGCAGAAGAGGUGGGAGUGUUUGCCUUCGGAAAACUGCAAAGAGACGGCUAAAAGCAAAUCCAAAGAAACCACAGCUACGAAGAACAGAGUGCCUUCUGCUGGGGAUGUGGAGAGAGCCAGAGUUCUGAAGGAGGAAGGCAAUGAGCUUGUAAAGAAGGGGAACCAUAAGCAAGCGAUUGAGAAGUACAAUGAGAGCCUCUGGUUUAGUAACUUGGAAUCCGCCACGUACAGCAACAGCCUUGUCGCAUAUGCUGGCUUGAGUGUCCUCACAGCGUGGUGGCCUCAGGGUAGCUGGCUUCUCGCAUGGCAGCUGAAGGCUCCAAGAGCAAGUGUCCCCAGAGAACAGGCUGACGCUGCAAGACCUCUGUAGCCCACCACUGGGACUCAUAACGUUCCUCUGUACUCUGUUGGUCAGGACAGUCACAGAACCUGCCUACAUUCAAGAGGAAAGAACAUAGGACCUCUUCAAUGGGAAGAAUGCCACAGAAUUUGUGCCUGCAUUUAAAUUGUUACAAGGAGAAGCUUUUUCUAAGUUGAUUUAUAAGUUCCAUGCAAUCUCAGUGAAAAUACUAGAAUUUUUUUACAUUCUUGGUAAUAAUUCCAUAAUUUGUCAGGAAAAGAAUAACAGCAUAAGAGAAUUUAGAUAUGAUAAAGUAUGGGAAAAAGGAAUUAUCCAAUAAAUGGUGUUGGGUUGGCUGGAGAGAGUUCAAAAGAAACCCUAAUCCCUACCCUCACUCCUUAUUUUAAAAUAAAUUCUAAGUGGAUCACAGUUUCAAAUGUAAAAAGUAAAACCAUUAAGUUCUAGAACAAUGUGUGGGUUAAUUAUCUUGCAGUGGGGAAGGUAUUUGGUGGUAGUGGAAGGGGACCCACAGAAGUCAUGAAAGAAGCUGGAUAAAUUUUAUUUCAUAAGAUUUAAAAAUCUUACGUAAAGACACUCAGCUUUACCUAUAUUUAAAGCAACUGCAUUAAAACAGAUGCUGUUUUCUUCUAUAUUGGCAGAAGUUAAAGGUUGAGACCCAGGGUUGGUACAGUUGCAGGAAAAUAGUCUCUGUUAGUAACUGUUCUUAAGUACACUUGACCCUUGAACAAGGCGGCUGUUGGGAGCACUGACCCUCCUUGCAGUCAAAAAAUCUCAGCAUAAUUUACAGUCGUCCUCUCGUAUCUGCGGUUCUGCUGCAUCUGUGGAGUCCACCAAAUGCAGAUGGUGUAAUACUCUAGAAUUUGUUAUUGAAAAAAAUCUGCAUGUAAGUGGACCCGCGCAGUUCAAACCCGUGUUCCUCAAGGGUCAGCUGGUUUUUGGAGAGCAUUUUGGUAAUAAUCAAAAAUUUAAAUGUAUGUACCUUUUGAUGCAGCAGUCCCUCCUAAUAGGCAUCUAAGAUUUAUGCGCAAGGAUGUUCAUGGUAGCAUCGUUUAUUUAUAAACUGGAAACAGUGAAAAAUAUCUACUGAUAAGGAAUUAAUAAAUUAUGGUACAUACAAGUGAAUACUAUGUACCCAUUAAAAAGUGAGGUGGAAUGGAUAUCUGUUUUUAGUGAUUAUCGUUGGGGGAAAGGACUAAAAAUGAAUGAGAAAGAUACAAAUACAUACUUUUCCCCCGUUGAUGCAGAAUGUGAAAAUUUUCAAAAUGUAAGUUGAAUGAAUUAUGUAUUGCACACCCAUACACUUCCCAAUUAAAUUCAUAAACAUUGUUAUAAAAUCAAAUACGCUUCAGUUAAAAAGAACAUUGUUAUAUUCGCUUUGUCACUAUAGCCAUCUAUUGAUCCAUCUUAUCAUCUUUGACGUAUAAGUUGUAGACAUCUUUACAUUUCACCCCUAACAUGUCAGCAUGCCUGGUAUUUAUUUAGAGCCUGGUAUUUGUUUUUUUCUUAAGGUAGAUAAUUUUUCUCAAGGGGAGCGUUUCGGGAAGCCUUUUUUCGCUUGAAAGAGUACAGUGUGGGAGCGUGAGGCGGACAGAACAAUAGCACCGAACACAGUCAGGAUCCCGAGUCGUUCGAGCCUGGGCUGAGUCCCAGGUCUGCCCCUCGGUAGUGGUGGAAGCUUGACGCGUCCCCUCUGCAGAAGGGGGCUGGGUGGCUGUGAGGACUGCGGGAGGGAGGAAGCACCCAGCACGGUGGGUGUGUUCGGGGAGCCGCAGGGCGCUACUCAGACUGCUGCGUGGCCCGCU